GACGAACGCUGGCGGCGUGCUUAACACAUGCAAGUCGAACGGUGAACUCCGCUUGCGGGGGGAUCAGUGGCGAACGGGUGAGUAACACGUGGGCAACCUGCCCUCAGCUCUGGGAUAACUCCAAGAAAUUGGGGCUAAUACCGGAUAUGACCGCUGACCGCAUGGUCUGGUGGUGGAAAGAUUUAUCGGCUGGGGAUGGGCCCGCGGCCUAUGAGCUUGUUGGUGGGGUAGUGGCCUACCAAGGCGACGACGGGUAGCCGGCCUGAGAGGGUGACCGGCCACACUGGGACUGAGACACGGCCCGGACUCCUACGGGACGCAGCAGUGGGGAAUAUUGCGCAAUGGGCGAAAGCCUGACGCAGCGACGCCGCGUGGGGGAUGACGGCCUUCGGGUUGUAAACCUCUUUCAGCAGGGACGAAGCGAAAGUGACGGUACCUGCAGAAGAAGCACCGGCCAACUACGUG
rnacentral:rRNA from 1 species